rnacentral:rRNA from 1 species
UCUGUCAGUCGUGCGAUGGAUUGAGAGCUUGCUCUCAAGAAGUUAGCGGCGGACGGGUGAGUAACACGUGGGUAACCUGCCCAUAAGACUGGGAUAACUCCGGGAAACCGGGGCUAAUACCGGAUAAUAUUUUGAACUGCAUGGUUCGAAAUUGAAAGGCGGCUUCGGCUGUCACUUAUGGAUGGACCCGCGUCGCAUUAGCUAGUUGGUGAGGUAACGGCUCACCAAGGCAACGAUGCGUAGCCGACCUGAGAGGGUGAUCGGCCACACUGGGACUGAGACACGGCCCAGACUCCUACGGGAGGCAGCAGUAGGGAAUCUUCCGCAAUGGACGAAAGUCUGACGGAGCAACGCCGCGUGAGUGAUGAAGGCUUUCGGGUCGUAAAACUCUGUUGUUAGGGAAGAACAAGUGCUAGUUGAAUAAGCUGGCACCUUGACGGUACCUAACCAGAAAGCCACGGCUAACUACGUGCCAGCAGCCGCGGUAAUACGUAGGUGGCAAGCGUUAUCCGGAAUUAUUGGGCGUAAAGCGCGCGCAGGUGGUUUCUUAAGUCUGAUGUGAAAGCCCACGGCUCAACCGUGGAGGGUCAUUGGAAACUGGGAGACUUGAGUGCAGAAGAGGAAAGUGGAAUUCCAUGUGUAGCGGUGAAAUGCGUAAAGAUAUGGAGGAACACCAGUGGCGAAGGCGACUUUUCUGGUCUGUAACCUGACACUGAGGCGCGAAAGCGUGGGAAGCA